AUGCUGGUGUUUAUAGAAAAUGGCUCAGAAUGAACGCAGCAUCAUUCCAGUUUCUUCCAACCUAGGUAUUUUCAUAAAAUUGUGGUAGAUACUAAUAUGAGAAUAGCUUUAACUUGAGAGGAAAAACUAUCUGUGACCCUGGAGAUACCUGGAACCUGGUAAAAUACAAUGCUCCCUAACUUUUCAGUUUCGAAUUGACUGAAACACUAGAUCAGGCAUUAUUAAAUGGGUGAAUGCACUUGACUUGUAAGAGUACUAAUCCACACUUAUGUGCAAGUACCAAUAACCAAGAUGAAUGAAGCUGGAACGUUCAAUUCUAUACUAUGUGGCAAUUUCUUCAGUGCAUUGGUGCUCUGGAUGGAAAACAUAUAACAAUUUCUCUCUCCCUCCCCAAACUCUAGCUCACUCUUCUACAAUUAUAAAGGGGACUUUAGUAUUAUAU